GCCAAACACGGAGAAGAAAACGAAGCAGGGAGCCAUGAUGGAUUGACGAAGUAAGCUGCACGUUAGAACAGCAGAGAAAAGCUGCCUGUCAAAGAGUGUAUAAGGAUAUAUGGCAGCUGACAUCAAGAAAUAAUGUGCAGUUAGACAGAAAUCCUUCCCUGAAAAGACCGAGCAUGAUGCCGAACUCGUUGUAAAAAACUGGCUGCGGCAAGCCAAAGCCAGAUGUUGUAG